UACAGAGGGGGCAAGCGUUGUUCGGAAUUACUGGGCGUAAAGGGCGCGUAGGUGGCCUUCUAAGUUGAACGUGAAAUCCCUGGGCUCAACCCAGGAACUGCGUCCAAGACUGGGAGGCUUGAAUCCGGGAGAGGGAUGCGGAAUUCCAGGUGUAGCGGUGAAAUGCGUAGAUAUCUGGAGGAACACCGGUGGCGAAGGCGGCAUCCGGGACCAACACUGACACUGAGGAGCGAAAGCCAGGGGAGCAAACGGG
rnacentral:rRNA from 1 species